rfam:Vibrio furnissii NCTC 11218 chromosome 1, complete sequence.
GAUGUGAGUAGAAGCGGUCAGGAGGAACGCUCCGGGGCAUUGCUCAUGAG